GGUAACGAAAAUAUGAGUCGGAAUACUUGGGUUCGCGGUUGCAAAGGACGGGCGAUCGUCGUAAUGUAAAUAAUGGAAAUCAGUUAGGUGCAUGGUGCUGAUGAUGACAAUGGUGCUGUCUAUUUGGGCAAGACGGUACCCAUUAUCCAACGCCGUUGUAAUAGUCAUUGAUAAGAAGAUCGCGAGAAAGUGUCACUGUUUAGAUAUUACCCUGUUGAGGAGUGUUAUUGUUUGUAAAAUUGUGAUAGUGCGUACUCCGGGGAAAGAACGGGGUCAGAUUGCAAAUAUCCCGUGAUUCUGGAAUGAAUGCUUGCGCCCAACGAAUUGUGUAUUUGGUGUGACCGGAAAAUAAAGAUCAACCAGACGAAGAAAGAUCUGGCCAAGCCGGAUAGAAGAAAGUCUGAUCGACUGCCAAAUAAGUGAAAAUGGAAGAUCGAAGUUAAAUGUGUUUAAUUAGAGGGAAUGUUUGAGAGUUGACCACUCAAUCAAGAGCAAUUUCAUUCUACACCACUUACCAUGUACCGUCCCAAGCUGCUUAACCUUGGAGCAUCCAAACGAUUUACCAAAGGACAAAUUCGAAUGACACUUCAAUGCCCAGCAUUUCGGAGUACUUCGUUGGCAUUGCACCCGGAAUGCGUGUUUCCCGCAAGGACAAGAGAACCGGAUAGACGCCGGCGACUUCGUGGAAGACCAUGGACACGCUGGCUGCAUGAGAUGGAAUCGGACCUGGGACUGGAGGAAGAUCGCCCAAGACAGUCGAUGGUGGAGCUCUACAAUACGCUAGGCAUAAGUGUAUCGACGGUGUAGCCAACCAGGUGUUUAGAUCAUAUAUAAACUUCAGGAGCGAUUUUCAACUAAUGGUCGACUUGAUAUUAUUAUGGUACUUCAAAAUUCUUCUGCAAUUGUUGAUUUCAACUAUGUCGAAUGAACACGGUGAGGGCGUCGUUGAAGUCUUUGGCCCGAUGUCAUUAUCUUACAAACAGAUCAGUAGAAAACAUUUCCAACCAAAUGGACAAAUGCAUUUAAUAUUACUGUUAACGAAGCAAAAAUGCAGAUACAUGUAUUUUAUAUUUUAAAUGGAAGUCAAAGAUUGAAUUUCAAAAAAAGAAGAAAAAUGAGCAAGUAUAGUUAUACGUUUCAUGAAUUGCAACACAAAAAAAAGCUAAAUAUUCAAAUUUAUCUGUAAAAUGUUUCUAACAAAAUAUUUACAAUAAAUAAUUUUUUAAAU